GACGAACGCUGGCGGCGUGCUUAACACAUGCAAGUCGAACGGAAGGGCCCUGCUUUUGUGGGGUGCUCGAGUGGCGAACGGGUGAGUAACACGUGAGUAACCUGCCCUGGACUUUGGGAUAACUUCAGGAAACUGGGGCUAAUAUCGGAUAGGAGCUCCUGCUGCAUGGUGGGGGUUGGAAAGUUUCGGCGGUUGGGGAUGGACUCGCGGCUUAUCAGCUUGUUGGUGGGGUAGUGGCUUACCAAGGCUUUGACGGGUAGCCGGCCUGAGAGGGUGACCGGCCACAUUGGGACUGAGAUACGGCCCAGACUCCUACGGGAGGCAGCAGUGGGGAAUAUUGCACAAUGGGCGGAAGCCUGAUGCAGCAACGCCGCGUGCGGGAUGACGGCCUUCGGGUUGUAAACCGCUUUCGCCUGUGACGAAGCGUGAGUGACGGUAAUGGGUAAAGAAGCACCGGCUAACUACGUG
rnacentral:rRNA from 1 species